rnacentral:rRNA from 1 species
UACGUAGGGGGCAAGCGUUGUCCGGAAUCAUUGGGCGUAAAGAGCGUGUAGGCGGCCAGGUAGGUCGGUUGUGAAAACUGGAGGCUCAACCUUCAGAGGUCGACCGAAACCAUCUGGCUAGAGUCCGGGAGAGGAGAGUGGAAUUCCUGGUGUAGCGGUGAAAUGCGCAGAUAUCAGGAGGAACACCUAUGGCGAAGGCAGCUCGCUGGGACGUUACUGACGCUGAGACGCGAAAGCGUGGGGAGCAAACAGG